UCAGCGGGUAUCCCUAUUUGAUUCGAGGCCAAGAAAUUUGUUGUAGAUAAACAAAAUUGACAAUAUGUUUUUAAAUUUAGGCAGUUUAUUGCCGUUUUCAAACACACGUCAAUUGCUAAUAUAUUUUGAAUAAUCAAAGACUGAUUGAUAUUAAUUCAACACAAGACAAUGUCUUAUUAAUAUUUUAAAUGGCGCUCGAACAAAUAUACCCUAUAGAUUACCAUAAGGUGCAAUGUGCGUUCAAAAAUUCGAUGAUUCACUAAAAUCUGCAAUUCACAUUACUUAUCGCAUUUCGCUGCGUUCUUCAUCGAUGCCAGAACCA
rnacentral:misc_RNA from 1 species